rnacentral:lncRNA from 1 species
AUAUUUAAUCAUCGUUGAGCUCGAUGGAACUUGUACUAAUAUGCUUAACAAAAAAUAAGAAAAAAAUAAUAUUUGUCUAAUAAAGCGUCCAAUACAAUCAAAUAUGGGAUAUCGAAAAAAAAAAUACGCAAUAAAAAUUUUUGUUCCCUGAAUAUCAAAAAUCUCCUCUCCUCUAACCAGCUACUUUGCUCAUUUCUCCCUAUGCCAAAAACAUAUAGAUUUAUCAAUGACGGCUCCUGGCUCAUUUCCCCCUUUGUUGCAGGUAAUUUCUUUGAUUCUUGAUGCUCAAUAGUAUUCUCUAAUCCUCCUCCGUAAUGGGAUUAGCUUAUAAAGAAGUAGAAAAUAUCUAGGACUACAAUGUUAUAUAUCACGAUUUCCUACUAAAACAAUGCAAUCACCAGCAUAGUAUAAUCCGAAAAUUUCUAGAAGAUAUUUCCCUUGAGCAAGAGGUUCAUUUGUAAAGCAAAGCUCAAAUAUGAAUACUAUGGUCAUUGGUUAUCUUUUCUUUUACUGCUGUUCUCUGGAGGAAGUGCUGUGAACUGGAUGAUCCUUUGAACUUGGGCAGCAUCGACAUGAAACCUCUCAGCAAUUUGAGGAAUAUUCAUAGGACCAUCAUGAUCAUCAGCCUUGCCUUGGUGCAGCAGGAUGAUUUGGCGUAUUUGUGCAACAUUUAGGGUUCCGGGAGGAGCAGGUAAUUCCUCGUAUCUGCUAGAAUCUAGUGUCGUAUUCCUUAGUUUAGGCAAAGGCCUUUUGUACUUCUCCACCAAAAAGGCCUGUGAAAAUAGUUCGGGGUCAAUAAUAGAUUCGCUUGAUAUAAACAAAAAUAGCCGAAGGACUCGAUCAUUCAAAUUCACUAUCAGCCCCUUAAUGAGCCGUACGAAAUGGCAAAAAAGAUUUGUAUAGCCAACCUCAAAUUUGUUAAGAACGAGGCUCAGUUCAAAAAUACUCUGUUUAGACCAUUCCAAUUCAAACAUAACACAACUGACUGCAAACUCAUGCCUGAUAAGUUUGUUCUAGGGUCCAAAUAACAGCAGCUGCUAUGCCAAGCCAGCUUAUACACAUUCAUGUGAUCCUUACACACCCAAUCAUAUAAACCACUGCGGUACUAGCUUUUGAUCUGGGCGCACCGACACUUCAGGGCCGGUUACUUAAUUGCUGCAGAGAGCCAUCCAAUGGCCCUCUCAAAGGUCCAAACAACAAACUGAAACUUACUGCGUGCUAGUCUAGGGAUGGCAAACUGCUGGCGAUGUAGCCACCAUGACAAGCCUUCCGCCGCCUUAUUGCCCCCACUUGGGUUACAGGCACGCGUUACUGCACCCGGCAGCCACACGUCUAGGCAUAGGUAAUAUAAAGUGUGAAAAACUUUUAAAGAUUCUCGAUGUGGGACAAUAUAGUAAACGACAUAGUUUUGCAGAAAAUUCUACGCUGCGGUCUCAUGGAGGCAAUGUUGCAGCUUAGGUACCUCGAAUCCUUCCCCUCUCUCAAACCGCUCUGUAUUCUCUCUCUAAAGCAUGGAUUUUUGGAGGGUUUUGCUUUGCGAAGAGGAAAUGGGCUUGACAACCAUCGAAAAACCGGGUCGAGUUAUGGCCCAUAAUGUUAACGUGUAUAUAAUUGCAGUGAUUUAAGUUUACAAGGAUAUGUCUGGGAUUACCUCUUCAUUCAUCUUCUGCUUUUUAUAAAUGAAUCACUUUGGGUUUGAAAAAGCUUUAUUAACCAAAUAAAACACUCUUAGAAAAUUAUCCAAAUAAAUCAAAAUUCAACUACUUUAUCCCAAUCUCGUAUGAACUAAAAUCUAUAUUUUAAUUCAAAUCAAAGUCAAUAAUAAUUUUAACUAUACAUGUCGUAAACUUUUAUCGAAAUUUAUUAAGUAUCUAACUUUAAUUCUUACCAAAUAUGGACUAGUCUCCAAAGACAUACUAAACAAGCCCUCAAUUUGUUUCAUCUCUAACAACUUAAAGGCUUAGAUCAUUAUGGUCAUUGCCAAUUUAGGAAAAUAGGCAUUUGGAAUAAUGAUAUUUGAUUACUAGGGGAAAUUUUUGUUAUAUCUAACUUAACCUUUCAAAUCACAUUGUUUAAUCGUGAUUAACUCCUAAUAAUGAAUGUAUAUCAGCAUCAUCCUUAAUGAAUGAAAAUAUCUAAUUCAACUGUUAAAAUAUAUAUAUAUAUAUAUAUAUAUAUAUAUAUAAAUUAAGGAAUCUUAAUAUUUAAUCAUCGUUGAGCUCGAUGGAACUUGUACUAAUAUGCUUAACAAAAAAUAAGAAAAAAAUAAUAUUUGUCUAAUAAAGCGUCCAAUACAAUCAAAUAUGGGAUAUCGAAAAAAAAAAUACGCAAUAAAAAUUUUUGUUCCCUGAAUAUCAAAAAUCUCCUCUCCUCUAACCAGCUACUUUGCUCAUUUCUCCCUAUGCCAAAAACAUAUAGAUUUAUCAAUGACGGCUCCUGGCUCAUUUCCCCCUUUGUUGCAGGUAAUUUCUUUGAUUCUUGAUGCUCAAUAGUAUUCUCUAAUCCUCCUCCGUAAUGGGAUUAGCUUAUAAAGAAGUAGAAAAUAUCUAGGACUACAAUGUUAUAUAUCACGAUUUCCUACUAAAACAAUGCAAUCACCAGCAUAGUAUAAUCCGAAAAUUUCUAGAAGAUAUUUCCCUUGAGCAAGAGGUUCAUUUGUAAAGCAAAGCUCAAAUAUGAAUACUAUGGUCAUUGGUUAUCUUUUCUUUUACUGCUGUUCUCUGGAGGAAGUGCUGUGAACUGGAUGAUCCUUUGAACUUGGGCAGCAUCGACAUGAAACCUCUCAGCAAUUUGAG